rnacentral:rRNA from 1 species
UGCGAGUCGACACAGCAAUGUGUGGCAUACGGCUCAGUAACACGUAGUCAACAUGCCCAGGGGACGUGGAUAACCUCGGGAAACUGAGGAUAAACCGCGAUAGGUCACUACUUCUGGAAUGGGUAAUGACCCAAACCUAUAUGGCCCCUGGAUUGGACUGCGGCCGAUCAGGCUGUUGGUGAGGUAAUGGCCCACCAAACCUGUAACCGGUACGGGCUCUGAGAGGAGGAGCCCGGAGAUGGGCACUGAGACAAGGGCCCAGGCCCUAUGGGGCGCAGCAGGCGCGAAACCUCUGCAAUAGGCGAAAGCUUGACAGGGUUACUCUGAGUGAUUUCCGUUAAGGAGAUCUUUUGGCACCUCUAAAAAUGGUGCAGAAUAAGGGGUGGGCAAGUCUGGUGUCAGCCGCCGCGGUAAUACCAGCACCCCGAGUGGUCGGGACGUUUAUUGGGCCUAAAGCAUCCGUAGCCGGUUCUACAAGUCUUCCGUUAAAUCCACCUGCUCAACAGAUGGGCUGCGGAAGAUACUAUGGAGCUAGGAGGCGGGAGAGGCAAGCGGUACUCGAUGGGUAGGGGUAAAAUCCGUUGAUCCAUUGAAGACCACCAGUGGCGAAGGCGGCUUGCCAGAACGCGCUCGACGGUGAGGGAUGAAAGCUGGGGGAGCAAACCGGAUUAGAUACCCGGGUAGUCCCAGCUGUAAACGAUGCAGACUCGGUGAUGAGUUGGCUUAUUGCUAACUCAGU